ACUGAACACUAUUAAAGCUCAAGGUGAAGGCCAGUCUUGGCCGAUGAACUGGGUGUCAGAAGUGUGCUAUGUUGAUGGCAGGGUGUUCACUAACACCAGUAGAGCCUGCAUCUAUGACUGGAGUUUGAUAGCACAUGCAAUAGUU